rnacentral:rRNA from 1 species
GUGCCAGCCGCCGCGGUAAUACGUAGGUGGCGAGCGUUGUCCGGAAUUACUGGGUGUAAAGGGCGUGUAGGCGGGAUUGCAAGUCAGAUGUGAAAUUCCGGGGCUUAACCUCGGCGCUGCAUCUGAAACUGUGAUUCUUGAGUGAUGGAGAGGAAAGUGGUAUUCCUAGUGUAGCGGUGAAAUGCGUAGAUAUUAGGAGGAACACCAGUGGCGAAGGCGACUUUCUGGACAUUAACUGACGCUGAGGCGCGAAAGCGUGGGGAGCAAACAGGAUUAGAUACCCUGGUAGUCCACGCCGUAAACGAUGGAUACUAGGUGUAGGAGGUAUCGACCCCUUCUGUGCCGGAGUUAACACAAUAAGUAUCCCACCUGGGGAGUACGGCCGCAAGGUUGAA